AUGAGACGAGUUGGCAGUACUUGUAUUGUCUCACUGGAUGAAACAGUAAUCCCCACAUUCCGAGUAGAUGGUCCAUUUGGAAGUCCUAAUCAGGUAUUAUAUUAUAUCCUCUUCUUACAAUCUCAAACUCAUAACUCGUUUUGCUUUUUUCCCCUUAUUGUUUUGAUUCUUCUGUACUUAAUCUUAUUGUCCAAUAGGAUGGUUUUCAUCAUCGUGUCAAUGUUAGUGUUGCUGCUGGAAUAGGAAUCACACCAUAUGCAGCUGUUCUUAAUUUUCUUAAGUAAGUAUCUUGUGUACUGUAUGAAAUCAACAUAUGCAUGAAAUAAUUUACAAUACUUAUGCCAUCUCUAAAACAAUUUUUUUCUUUCUUUUUAUCUUUCAAAACAACUUUUACAAUAUUAAUUUUGUUUACCCUUUUCUAUAGACGAUUUAAUCCUAACAAAGUCCAUAAAGAUUUCAAACUUGAAAGAUUACAUUUGAUUUGGGUUUGUAAAGAUGUAAACGAGUUUAGUUGGGUUGUUGAUUUAAUCAAAGAAGUGAGAAAGCAUGUAAGUUACAUUCUAUCAAUUUUUAUCUUAAUUAAACCAUAAACUUCUUAAUGCAAUAAAGAUAUUAGCGUUUAAAUCAUGUUUAAUUUUAUAUAUGUUUGUUAUUAUAGUUAAUUCAAAUCAAACGUGAAGACAUUCUAAAAGUUCAAUUAUUCGUGACACAAAAAUACAAAGUGAAUAUUGACUCACAAGCACAACUGGCAAAGAAUGCCUUUCCACAAUGUGAAGGUUGCGUGACUGAGGAAUGGUUUAAAGAUAAUAUGAAGCAAGGUCGACCAGAUUUGAAAGAAGUAUUAACAAAAAUAGCCAUGCAACACGAAAGAGAAAAGAUUGGAUUAUUCUACUGUGGUGCAAAAGGAUUGGGGAAAAUGCUGAGUGAUACAUCUCUUAAAAUUACCCAAGGAGGCAACACAUUCAUAUUCAGAAAAGAGAGUUUUUAAUUAUUAUAAUUAUUAUAAUUUAAAUCUAUUAAUUUGUAUAAUUUUAGUUUAUUAUUUUGUAAUUUUGUAGUUAUAUAAAUCACUUAACAUUAAUAUUAUU